GACGAACGCUGGCGGCGUGCCUAAUACAUGCAAGUCGAACGCAGUGGGGACGGGUGAGUAACACGUGGGUAACCUCCCAUCAGAGGGGAUAACACUUGGAAACAGGUGCUAAACCGAUACUGAUGGAUGGACCCGCGGUGCAUUAGCUAGUUGGUGAGGUAACGGCUCACCAAGGCCACGAUGCAUAGCGUACCUGAGAGGGUGAUCGGCCAAACUGGGACGAGGACACGGCACAGAGUCCUACGGGAGGCAGCAGUAGGGAAUCUUCGGCAAUGGACGAAAGGCUGACCGAGCAACGCCGUGUGAGUGAAGAAGGUUUUCGGAUCGUAAACCGCGGGUUUUAGAGAAGCGGUAUCUAAUCCGAAAGCCACGGCUAACUAUGUGCCAGCAGCCGCGGUAAUAC
rnacentral:rRNA from 1 species